CGAGUCAACGUAGCAAUACGUGGCACACGGCUCAGUAACACGUAGUCAACAUAACCAAAGGACGUGGAUAAACUCGGGAAACUGAGGCUAAACCGCGAUAGAUCAAGAUACCUGGAAUGGUUUUUGAUCAAAAUCUAUAUGGCCUUUGGAUUGGACUGCGUCCGAUCAGGCCGUUGGUGAGGUAAUGGCCCACCAAACCUGUAACCGGUACGGGCUCUGAGAGGAGGAGCCCGGAGAUGGGUACUGAGAAAAGGACCCAGGCCCUAUGGGGCGCAGCAGGCGCGAAACCUCUGCAAUAGGCGAAAGCCUGACAGGGUUACUCUGAGUGAUUUCCGCUAAGGAAGUCUUUUGACACCUCUAAAAAUGGUGUAGAAUAAGGGGUGGGCAAGUCUGGUGUCAGCCGCCGCGGUAAUACCAGCACCCCGAGUGGUCGGGACGAUUAUUGGGCCUAAAGCAUCCGUAGCCGGUUUUACAAGUCCUCCGUUAAAUCCAACUGCUUAACAGAUGGGCUGCGGAGGAUACUAUAAGACUAGGAGGCAGGAGAGGCAAGCGGUACUCAGUGGGUAGGGGUAAAAUCCGUUGAUCCAUUGAAGACCACCAGUGGCGAAGGCGGCUUGCCAGAAUGCGCUCGACGGUGAGGGAUGAAAGCUGGGGGAGCAAACCGGAUUAGAUACCCGGGUAGUCCCAGCUGUAAACGAUGCAGACUCGGUGAUGGACUAGCUUUAUGCUAGUCCAGUGCCGCAGGGAAGCCGUUAAGUCUGCCGCCUGGGUAGUACGGUCGCAAGACUGAA
rnacentral:rRNA from 1 species